AUGGCUGGGACAAGUCAUAAGUCAAAACAGGAUGGACCUGCUGGAUCAAGCCAUGACGACCUUGCAUCUCAUGGGGAUGAAGAGCAUCAAACACAGCCACGGAGCAGUGCACCAAUAACUGGGUACAAGCGUAUGAGAACUAAAGCAGCAGCUAUAAGGGGGAAGCGCCCUCACGAUAUCAUUAGUAAUGACAAUAGCAAUGAGAGCCAAGCUGCAGAUGCUGGGAAUAAAAAUGUCGAAUGUGCAGACGUCGAGCAACCUCCAAAAGCAAAACGCCAGAAGACGGGAGGAACUAAGGGUCGCAGGAACAGGGCAUCUCCUGCAAGGCUAUUCAAGUUGAACAAGGACUUGGUUCCUUACCAAAAGGGUGUCAUCAUCGGAAAAGAAUUUGGCGGCAUUCUGGACCUUGCAGCGAGUAGCAUGCCUGGAGAUUUUAGCCAGUGGAUAAUGAAGCAUUACGACCCGGAGAUUUCACAGAUAGUCAUUCUAGAAAGGGGGAAGAUUCCUGUAGAUGCCGCCAGUGUCCGUAGGAUAUGGGGUUUGCCCAACAGGGGCAGGAAGCUGUUGUACCUAGACUCUUUGGAUGUUGAUGAGCCAAUCCCGAACUUGGUACCAAGGGUUUUUGUCUGGAAUUCAGAUUUAAUCUCCAGAGUUAUCAAGAAGGACAGGAAGGCUCCAGGAGAAUAUGGCCAAUUGCGGGGGAAAUCAAGUAGCCAGGGAGCACCGGCCCUCACGGUUGACACGGGUACGGAAGACGGAACUGAGGGGAACGAGGACAAUGAUGAUGAUGAAGAAGAAGAGGAUGACGAAAAAGAAGAUGAUGAAGGAAAGGAGGACGAUGACGAUGAAGAAGGCGAUGGGGAUGGCAAAGACAAGGAAGACGAUGGGCAAGGGAAGCAGGAUGAAGAUGAUGAAGAUGACAGCGGAUGUGGCAAUGGUGGUUCAGGCAGCAAUGGUGGCUCCGAUCGGGACGAGGAUCCCGCAGAUGAGGAGACAGGCAGCGAUGAUGAUGAACAAUGCACGCUGCAAUUUCUGAUUGAAAAGAAGAAGGACAGAAAGGCAAAAGGAUUGGAUGAGGCAGAUAGCUCAGCCAAUGGUAUCCAGAGGGCCAAGGUGCAAGACUUCAAGGCAUCACCCGAGGCUCGAUCAUUAAAUCAUGCAUGA
rnacentral:rRNA from 1 species